GUGGACCAGGCAGCCUACUGAAGGGCGAAGUCGCGAUGGAGGUCUCCGUCUUGGUGAAAUGGAGCGUGAUUGUUUGAUUGCAUAUGGUGCUAGCAUGCUGAUCUUUGAACGUCUACUACUAUCUAGUGAUCCAUAUCAAGUCCAGGUUUGCAGAAAAUGAGGCUUGUUGGGGUACUACAACUAUAAACUGAAGACUUCGUACUGUUCAAUGUGCAAGAACGGAGAAAACAUGGCCAAGAUGAGGCUGCCAUAUGCCUG